GUGUUGCAUGAAAGGAGAGAAAGUUAUCAUUCCUCCUGGAAAGGAUGAAAGAGGUCCUCAGGCUGACAAAACAGUACAAAUGGACUUCCAAAAAUUAGU
rnacentral:ncRNA from 1 species